ensembl:snoRNA
CUGUAUAUAAGAAAGUAUUUACAGAUGCAAGAAGAAAGUAUCCUCACACUUCCUGUCUGUCUGAUUGUGGCAGCCCAGAUUGAAUGGGGGAAUGCAGGG